UCUUGUUAUGGAUCAGAUAGGAUACAAUGCUGGUCGCACACCAUUCACAGACAUCUCAAACACCAUCAUUACAGGUAAUCAAAAUGAAUCGAACUCGCUUGGACCAAUUGUCGAUGCUAAGGAACGUAAGAGGCAAAGGGAUAGGGAAAGAUAUGUUGCGAUGACUGUUGAAGAAAAGAAUGAGAAAAAUAGGAAGCGUCGUGAAGCACGUCAACGAAAUAAAGGACUAUCGAUGGAGCCACUCUCAUCUAGAGACGUUAAUACGGACCAGGCAUGUGAGGUGGUUAGCUUUCCAGAUGACUCUAGCACCAUUGAUUUCACAAAUUUGUCAACACAAGACAUUGCAG